rnacentral:rRNA from 1 species
UACGUAGGGGGCAAGCGUUGUCCGGAAUCAUUGGGCGUAAAGCGCGUGUAGGCGGCCCGGUAAGUCCGCUGUGAAAGUCCAGGGCUCAACCCUGGGAUGCCGGUGGAUACUAUCGGGCUCGAGUCCGGAAGAGGAGUGUGGAAUUCCUGGUGUAGCGGUGAAAUGCGCAGAUAUCAGGAGGAACACCAAUGGCGAAGGCAGCACUCUGGGACGUGACUGACGCUGAGACGCGAAAGCGUGGGGAGCAAACAGG